AUGAAGCCUCUGCAUGCUGCAUCAAGCAGGUUAUCCAAUCUGAGCUCUGAGAACAGAAAGCUGAUUCAACAGCUGAAUGAACUGAAGGCUACCCUGGCGAAAGCCAAGGACUUCCGUGAACUGCUCUGCUUACCAUCUGGUUAUAAUGCAGAGAGACCCAUCAUAUCAUCAGCUGCUGUUCCUGAGACCACAUCACUACCGCCUUUGAAAGUGAUUGGUCGUGACAAGGAUCGGGAUCAUAUAAUAGAUCUUCUUACCAAGACAACUGCCACUACCGAGUCUAGUACAGCUAUGUACUCAGGUUUGGCCAUUGUUGGAGCUGGAGGCAUGGGAAAGUCUACAUUAGCACAACUUGUUUACAAUGACAAGAGGGUAAAAGAAUAUUUUGAUGUGACAAUGUGGGUAAGCAUCUCACUCAAACUUGAUGUCCGCCGUCAUACACGAGAGAUCAUCGAGGCUGCCUCUCAGGGGGAAUGCCCACGCAUUGAUAACCUUGAUACUCUGCAGCGCAAGUUGAUAGACAUACUGCAAGAAUCAAAGAAAUUCCUGCUUGUGUUGGAUGAUAUUUGGUUUGAAGCUAGCAGUGAGAGAGAAUGGGAUCAACUGUUAGCUCCUCUAGUUUCCCAACAGACAGGAAGCAAAGUUUUGGUAACUUCUCGACGGGAUACAUUUCCAGCCACUCUCUGUUGUGAAGUUUGUCCUCUGGAAAACAUGGACGAUGCUCACUUCUUGGCACUCUUCAAACACCAUGCAUUCUCUGGACCACAAAUCAGAAAUCCACUACCGUGUGAAAGGCUCGAAGAUUUUGCAGAGAAGAUUGCAAAGAGGCUUGGACAAUCUCCUUUGGCGGCAAAAGUUGUGGGUUCCCAGUUGAAAGGAAAAACAGACAUCACUGUAUGGAAGCAUGCUUUAACUAUAAACAUUGAAAAGUUAAGUGAGCCCAUGAGAGCUCUAUUGUGGAGUUAUGAGAACUUAGAUCCACGUCUGCAGAGGUGCUUCCUCUAUUGCAGCUUGUUUCCAAAAGGCCAUAUAUAUGACACUGAGGAGUUGGUUUAUCUUUGGAUGGCAGAGGGCCUUGUUGAUUCAUGCAACCGAAACAAGAGUGUGGAAGAUAUUGGAAAGGAUUGCUUCAAGGAGAUGAUCUCUGUAUCAUUCUUUCAACCCGAUUACAAUGAAUUCCCUGAUAUCUUUCCCACGUACUAUGUUAUGCAUGAUCUCCUUCAUGAUCUGGCAGAAUCACUCUCUAAAAAUGACUACUUCAGAUUGGAAGAUGAUAAGGUUACAGAAAUACCAUCUACUGUUCGACACAUAUCUUUUUGUGUUGAAAGUAUGAAGCAACACAAGCAAAGUAUCUGCAAGCUACAUCAUUUACGCACUAUUAUCUGCAUAUACCCCCUGAUGGAUGAUGUCAGUGAUCUUUUUAAUCAGAUACUACGGAAUUUAAAGAAGUUGCGUGUACUAUGUUUGAAAUCUUACAACAGUAAUAAGUUGCCAGAAUCUGUUGGUGAGUUGAAGCACCUUCGGUAUUUGAACAUCAUAAGUACACUGAUUUCUGAAUUGCCAAAAUCACUGUGUACUCUUUACCACUUGCAGUUACUGCUGUUUAGUGCCAAAGUCGAGAGUUUCCCCAAGAAACUCUGCAAUUUAAGGAAGUUAACGCAUCUUAAACGGGUUGGUGAAAGAAUAGGCGGCUUGAACAGUGCGAGACUGCCUCAAAUUCCUAACAUUGGCAAGCUAACUUUGCUUCAACAAUUUGAGGAAUUUUCUGUGCAAAAGAAAAAGGGAUAUGAGUUGCAACAGCUGAUGGACAUGAAUGAGAUUCGUGACAGUUUACAUGUCACCAAUCUUGAGAAUGUCACUGGGAAGGAUGAAGCCUUAGAAUCAAAGCUGCAUCAGAAAAGGCAUCUUCGCAUCUUGCGACUUGCCUGGAGUUGCAAGAAUAAAACAAAUGGAGAAGAUAGUUCACAUUUGGAGAUUCUAGAAGGUUUGAUGCCACCACCUCAACUUGGAGAUCUUAAAAUUGAAGGUUACAAAUCUUCAAAAUAUCCAGGCUGGUUACUUGAUAAUUCAUAUUUUGAGAACUUGGAAUCUUUAAGCUUCGAGCAUUGCAGUGCAUUACAAAGUCUACCAUCUAAUAUUGAGAUGUUUGGGAAUUGCACUUCACUUGUCCUCGGCGAUGUGCCAAACCUGAAGACAUUACCUUGUCUUCCACCAGGUCUUCAAAUGUUACGAGUAGACAAAUGCCCACUGCUUGUAUUUAUUUCCAAUGAUGAGAUGGAACAGGAUGAUCUGAGAGAGAAUUUCAUGAAGAUGGACCACUUGGCAUCACAACUUUGUUUAAUCUGGGCGGUUGAUUCAGGAUCAGAUAUUAGGAGAGUAAUCUCAUGGGAGCAUUCAUUUCUGGAGCAGCAGAUGACAUUGAUGCAUGCUGAUGUGUCACAAGUUCAAAACCUUGGAUCUGCUCUAAAAAGGGAGAAAUAUAAAGUAUUGGUAAAAGAGGAUAUAAUCAAGGCAUGGAUAUGCUGUCACCAGCAAAGGAUGAGACUCAUCUAUGGAAGGAGAAGUGGGAUGCCGUUGGUUCCACCAUCAGGACUUUGUCAACUUAUUCUUUCCUCAUGCAGUGUUACAGAUGGAGCUUUAGCUGCUUGCCUUGAUGGCUUGGUUUCACUGACAAUGUUGGACUUAAAAGAUCUUAUGACUUUAACUACACUUCCUUCCGAAGAGGUGCUCCAACAUUUGACAGAACUUAAGGAGUUAUCCAUCAGAUAUUGCUGGUGUCUCAGGUCAUUAGGGGGCUUACAAGCUGCUACCUCUCUUUCAAUUGUUACAUUGAUUUCCUGCCCUUCUUUAGAGUUGGCAUGUGGAGCAGAAUGCUUGCCAUUAUCCCUUGAGAGGCUCUGUAUAUACGGUUGUGUGCUUACAGCUGACUUCCUCGGUACUGACUGGCCACACAUGUAUGAUUUUGACAUAAGCUGUUGCAGAAGCACUGCAUGCUUGUCUGUUGAUAGUCUCACCUCUGUUAAAUCAUUCUCAUUGCAGAAAUUGCCAGAUUUAUGUACGGUCGAAGGAUUGUCUUGUCUGCAACUUCGCAACGUAUAUUUGAUUGAUGUUCCGAAACUCACCCCUGAGUGUAUCUUACAGCUUCGAAUCCAAGGAUUCCUCACUGUUAGCAGUCCUGUAAUAAUGAACAAUAUGCUCUCGGCUGAAGAUUUCACAGUUCCAGAAUCUCUCACUCUUCUAGGAUGCAAAGAGCCAUUCGUCUCACUCAAAGAAUCCACAAAUUUCACAUCUGUCAAGGUCCUGGAAUUCUCUGGCUGUCAAAUGAUUUCCUUGCCAACAAAUUUGAAGUGCUUCUCCAGUCUGAAGAAUCUCUACAUAUGUGAAUGCCCCAACAUAUCAUCUUUACCAGAUCUGCCAUCCUCCCUCCAGAAGAUACACAUGGAGGGUUGUUCGGAACUCUUGAAAGAGAGCUGCCGAGCACCUGAUGGAGAAAACUGGGCAAAGAUCGCUCAUAUCCGCUGGAAGUACAUAAAUUAA
rnacentral:rRNA from 1 species